AGUAAAAAAAAAACAUGCCACUUGUCCAUCCCUAGGAGAAUAUUGUUGUUUGUUUACAUCUUUUGUAAAUCAAAUUUGCUAGAAUUAAUACAAAAAAAUGUCAAGUAUUGUUGAUUGGGAAAAUAAAGAACUCUUUAAUGCAGAAUUUAGUAAAAAUAUUCGUUCAGAACUUAAAAAAUUCAGGAUGCCUACGAAGAAUGGGUGGCCGAUCACCCAACUCUGGCAGGGGAUUUGAAAGAGGUUUUAAAGUGGGUGACCCUUUAUUUCUCAGGAAACGUUUCGUCAGUGGCUUUUAUGGUCAUGGUUUCAAAAAAUUUGAUAACAAACUACAAUCAACGAAUCCUCGCUCGGAAAAAUGACCCGAAGACAAGGAAACUUUAAGCCUUAAUUUUAUCUAAAAUUUCUAAAAAUGUGACAUUAAAAAAAAUGUUGGAAUAAAAUAGAUAAA